UACGAAGGGGGCGAGCGUUGUUCGGAAUUACUGGGCGUAAAGGGCGCGCAGGCGGCCCUUGAAGUCAGGCGUGAAAGCCCCCGGGCUCAACCUGGGAGGUGCGCUUGAUACUCGAGGGCUUGAGUGCGGGAGAGGAGAGUGGAAUUCCCAGUGUAGAGGUGAAAUUCGUAGAUAUCGGGAGGAACACCUGUGGCGAAAGCGGCUCACUGGACCACAACUGACGCUGAGGCGCGAAAAGCUAGGGGGAGCAAACAGG
rnacentral:rRNA from 1 species